GUAAGAGGGAAAAAAAAGGUGUAUUCUGCUGUGUCCUCCUAGGAGAACAGUGCUUUUUAAUUAUUUUCAGCUCCUCUUCAUCUGAAACCAAAGACAAUAAUGCUUCAGCUUGAAGGCAGCCUCUACGCAGAGAUUCCCCAUGAGUGCAACUUGUUCUCCCCGCAGGACCUGUACCAAAAUGGACAGCAAUAAAGGAGCCGCAACUUGGCUAUACAAAGCAGCUGGGACCUGAGCAUGAGGCAACCGCGCCAACCUGAGGCCCGUGCCAGCGGCUGCCCCGUGCCAAUGACCCAUCCGGGAGCAUCAGUGAAAUGCUGUAUUGCAGAUGCCGACCC